rnacentral:rRNA from 1 species
GACCGGGGCGACAGCAAUAUGAAGGUCAGGCUGAAGACUUACCCGAUUAGCUGAGAGGUGGUGCAUGGCCGUCGUCAGUUCGUACUGUGAAGCAUCCUGUUAAGUCAGGCAACGAGCGAGACCCACGUCCACAGUUGCCAGCAUACCCUCCGGGGUGAUGGGUACACUGUGGAGACCGCCGCUGCUAAAGCGGAGGAAGGAGUGGGCAACGGUAGGUCAGUAUGCCCCGAAUCUCCCGGGCUACACGCGGGCUACAAUGGUUGGUACAAUGGGCAUCUACCCCGAAAGGGGAAGGAAAUCUCUUAAAGCCAAUCGUAGUUCGGAUUGAGGGCUGCAACUCGCCCUCAUGAAGCUGGAAUCCGUAGUAAUCGCGUUUCAACAGAACGCGGUGAAUACGUCCCUGCUCCUU